UAAGCAGGUAGUGAAAGCGUUCGGCUCAACCGGAUAUCCAUUACUUGAACUGCAAAGCUAGAGGACAAGAGAGGUCACUGGAAUUCCUAGUGUAGGAGUGAAAUCCGUAGAUAUUAGGAGGAACACCGAUGGCGUAGGCAGGUGACUGGCUUGUUCCUGACACUAAGGCACGAAAGCGUGGGUAGCAAACGGGAUUAGAUACCCCGGUAGUCCACGCCGUAAACUAUGGAUGCUA
rnacentral:rRNA from 1 species